AAGCACAGAGAACACCCAAGGGUGCUAACGUAGCUCCCCCUGGUCUCUUGUAUCUGUGCUACAGUAAAUCUGAUCUGUACCUCUGCAUUUGGGGAGUCCCUUUCUCUCCUACAUGUAUUCAGCGGAUCAGAAUAAAC
rnacentral:snoRNA from 11 species